UUGAUUAUCUGUUUGUACUUAAGGUAAUGAAAUACUACCACAUACUUGUGAGAAUAGUACCAUAGCAUCAGAAUAAAACUCUGUAAUUACAUGUA